CCAUUUUAAAAUGGAACUUACAACAUAUUUUGAACUGAAAAGAAAUGAAGCAACAGCAUCUGAGAAUUGUUGAGAUGCUGUGAAAGCAGUACUUGGGGGAAAAUUUAUAGUACUAAGCACCUAUAUUAGAAAAGAAGAAAGGCCUCGAAUUAAUAACAUCAGCUUCCAAAUUAAACACUGGACAAAGAAGAAUUAAACCUAAGGUAAGCAAAAUAAAUGAAACACAGUGAGUAUCAGAGUGAAAAUCAGUGGAACAGAAAACAGGAAACCAAUACAGAAAACCAAUACAGAAAAUCAGUGAAUCCAAAGCUGGUUUAAUAUCCUGAAGUCAAUCCAUGUAAUUCAUCAUAGUAACAGACUGAAAAAGUAAACCAUAUCGUAUCAACAGAUGCAGAAAAAGCAGCUGACAAAAUCCAACAUCCCUUCCUGAUUAAAAAACAGUAAAAAACUCAGCACAUAAUAGAACAAAAACUUCCGCAGCCUGAUAAAGGGCAUCUAGGAAAAACCUACGGCUAAACAUCACACUUAACAUGAAAUACUAAAUGCUUUCUCCAUAAGAUCAGAACAAGGAUGCCCACUCUCUCCACAUCUUUUCAACAUAGUACUGGAGGUUAUAGCCAGAGCAGUAAGGCAGAAGGAGAAAAGUUAUCCAGAAUAAAACUGUCUUUGGAGAUGACACUGUUAUCUGUGUAGAAAAUCCAAUGGAAUGUUCAAAGAAGCCAGUAAAUCCAAUACGUGAGUUUAGCGACGUAGUAGGAUACAAAAUAAGUACAAGAAUAUAAAUUGAUUGUUUAUACCAAUUAACAUUCAGAAAAUGAGUGUUAAAUUUUAAAAUUGAAAUUAAAAAAAAUUUUAUAGCAUCAUUUAAAUUAAGAAGCUUCCUUUAGAAACAGCACAUUUUCAGCUAAGAUCUAGACUGCUGUUCUCUUGGAAGGCUGAAUUAUCUCCAACGUCUUGGGACAACCCAGAUACUU
rnacentral:lncRNA from 10 species